ACAUAGACUGCUUCUGGGUAAAGAAGGCAGAAUGAACACAAAUAUGUGUCACAAAAUUCCAAAACAAAAGCAGAGCAAUGUUGUUUUUUUUCAAAUGGGAUUUAUCUUCAGAGGUGAUGAGAACAAGCGAAAGCCUGACAGAUGAAUCUGCAAAGGCUGAUCCAGAGAGCCUGUGGACUUUGGAGCACCAGGUGUACUGAGGGAAAGUGAAAGGCUCCAUACCAAAUGAGAAAGGUAGACUUGACAACGGUCAGCUUUAGCAGACUGAGAAGAAGCCACCUUCACGUGUACUAAGAUUCACCUCACACAAAUGUGUGAUCACCAAAAUCAACAUGUGCAGUACUUUCAGUCAUUCAAAGAAUGUACAAAGCAGCAUUGAAACCACCUCGAUCAUAUGUUCCCAGGUAUUCUGAAAGCCCUGAUGAAUAAGAUGGCCGAGCUGGGAUCUGAGCUAAAGCUGAAGGCGAACUACUACUGUCCAAAGCACCUAUAAUACAUAGAAAAUCUUCUAGGUGCUUUCUUCAUGGAAAGUGCCCUCUAUGCUUA